rnacentral:rRNA from 1 species
AACGGAGGGGGCGAGCGUCAUUCAUCCUGAUUUGGGCGUAAAGGGUAUGUAGGUAGUGGGAAUUGAUUUAGUUAAAAUUUAACGUUGUUGUUAGGUUCACUAAAUACAAAAUUCAUACUCGAGAUCGGCGGGGUUGGCGGAAUUACUAAUGUAGGGGUAAAAUGUUACGAUAUUAGUACGAAUACCAAUGGGCGCAGGCAGCUUUCUCAACGAUCUGGCACUGAGGUACUAAAGCAUGGGGAUCAAACAGG